rnacentral:rRNA from 1 species
UACGGAGGGUGCAAGCGUUGCUCGGAAUUAUUGGGCGUAAAGGGUAGGUAGGUGGUCUCAUUUGUCCGGGGUGAAAUCCUUGAGCUUAACUCAAGAAGUGCCUCGGAAACGGUGAGACUAGAGUUCUGGAGAGGGUCGUGGAAUUCCCGGUGUAGCGGUGAAAUGCGUAGAGAUCGGGAGGAACACCAGAGGCGAAGGCGGCGACCUGGACAGAUACUGACACUAAACUACGAAAGCGUGGGGAGCAAACAGG